rnacentral:rRNA from 1 species
UACGUAGGGUGCGAGCGUUAAUCGGAAUUACUGGGCGUAAAGCGUGCGCAGGCGGUUUUGUAAGCCAGGUGUGAAAUCCCCGGGCUCAACCUGGGAAUGGCAUUUGGGACUGCAAGGCUGGAGUGCGGCAGAGGAGACUGGAAUUCCUGGUGUAGCAGUGAAAUGCGUAGAUAUCAGGAGGAACACCGAUGGCGAAGGCAGGUCUCUGGGCUGACACUGACGCUCAUGCACGAAAGGCGUGGGGAGCAAACAGG